GGCAUGCUCAUUCUCCUCCGCUGCAGCUCAUCCUCUUCAAGGCAUUUCUAUUUUUAUCGUUUUCAUAUUUUCUCCGUAUCCAUUUCAGCUUAACAAGUAUCCCCAUCUCGCUGCGAAUGUAUGCUUAUUUUGUCAAAAAAUGGAAAAUGCAAAGAAGGUGCCGAGGUGAGAGUUAGUCCUCAUCACUUAACCUUACUAGAUCUUUAGCUAAGCUACAAUAUGCUGCUGGAAAAGGCUUAAUAGCUCAAAUCAGCUGCUGGGUUUGAGGAAAAAGAAUUACUCUCACUACAAUGAUUUUUCUCUCUUCUUUGGAGAAGAUGGGGCAAAUGGACUAGAUGCAGAAGGCCCUACUGAUUAUGUAGAAAGUAUAGAAAGGGGAGAGGCUAAAGGUGAAGAGGAUACAGGAGGGAAAGUGGGAGGUGCCUUGAAUGCAAUAAAUGCCUCUACAAGUGCUAUUGACAAUUUCGCCACAACCACCACCAAAUUGAGUAUGUCAAGUAAGUCAAAAAAGAAGAGUAAAGACUAAUGAUGUCUUAAUAAAUUUGGUGGAGCACACAGGUAGGUUGAGUAACCUUUAUGAGGAAGCUAAAGAAACCAUGAAUAUUCUUUAAAGUAUGAAUCUGGAAGAGCAAAAAAAAGGAUGAAGGUGUAUGGUUGGCUUCUUUAAUAAAGAGUUUGACUAAUGAUGGCAUUUUGGAGAUGGAACAUAUUAUCACUAUGGAUACUCACCAAUGAUGACAUUUAGGUGACUCACAAGACAUAUUAUCUUUUCACUUUGAAUGACUAAUUUAGGUGGGAGUCUUGUGCACUGGAUACGACCUUUUUCUUUAUGUAACGAAUUUGCUUCAAGAUAAAGUUUAGCUUAACUAAAUUCAUAUACGAACUUUCAGCAAUCGAGAUAGAUUUUGUUA